UAUUGAUCACAGAGCGAAUGGAGAACCUGGACGUAAUUCUGUUGAUGCCUGCCUGUGUGACUGGCGGGGAUGUAGGCAAAGAACGUGGAUCUAUGUAAGGAGGGCUUUGAUCAAGAGACCAUGUGCCAAAAAUCAACUGGAAAAGACGUCCGAGACCGGAGGCGAGGAAUUGGAUGGUCAGAAACCAGGCUGUUGGUGCUGCUGAGGCUGUUGGUUUUCCUGCUUCACUGGUGGAGGAAGUGCAGAGCAAAUUGUGCAGCGGUGGACUUCACUACUUGGAGAACAUGAAUGGAAAGAACACGGGGAUCAUCUAAGCCUGGAUGACUAACUGAAGAGGAAUUGGAUUCAACCCCAGUCCCAGCGUCUACAGGCAAUCAUGGAGGAUAAAUGACUUCUGAAAGUUCUGCAGCAGUUGACUCAGUUCAAACAUACCGUUUCAAUACUGGCAUGUCUUUACAGGGGGCUCUGGAGGAAAAGAAGAGAGGAGAAACACGCAUCUGAUGACCAACCACAUUUUACAGCUCCAGAACAUUUCCUCUAAGCCAAACCUCCUCAAAAGGUCUCU